rnacentral:rRNA from 1 species
UACGAAGGGGGCUAGCGUUGCUCGGAAUCACUGGGCGUAAAGCGCACGUAGGCGGCUUUCUAAGUCAGGGGUGAAAUCCUGGAGCUCAACUCCAGAACUGCCUUUGAUACUGGAGAGCUUGAGUCCGGGAGAGGUGAGUGGAACUGCGAGUGUAGAGGUGAAAUUCGUAGAUAUUCGCAAGAACACCAGUGGCGAAGGCGGCUCACUGGCCCGGUACUGACGCUGAUGCGCGAAAGCGUGGGGAGCGAUCCGG